rnacentral:tRNA from 1 species
GGGGGUAGGGUAGAGCACAUGCUUAGCAUGCAUGAGGUCCUGGGUUCAAUCCCCAGUAUCUCCA